rnacentral:sRNA from 1 species
GCCGCUGCUGCUGCUGCUGCUGCUGCUGCUGCUGACGCUGCUGCUGCUGCUGAUGCUGCUGCUGCUGAUGCUGCUGCUGCUGAUGCUGCUGAUGCUGCUGC